CUGCCGUGAUGACCAUCUUAGGACACCUUUGGAUUAAAAAUGAAACUAACAAAGCUUUGUCUGACCAGC
rnacentral:snoRNA from 1 species